rnacentral:rRNA from 1 species
UACGUAGGGUGCGAGCGUUAAUCGGAAUUACUGGGCGUAAAGCGUGCGCAGGCGGUGAGCUGUGUCCGAUGUGAAAGCCCCGGGCUUAACCUGGGAAUGGCAUUGGAAACUGGCUCGCUGGAGUGUGGCAGAGGGGGGUGGAAUUCCGCGUGUAGCAGUGAAAUGCGUAGAGAUGCGGAGGAACACCGAUGGCGAAGGCAGUCCCCUGGGCUAACACUGACGCUCAGGCACGAAAGCGUGGGGAGCAAACAGG